GGAGGGUACAGCUCAGUGGUAGAGUGCGUGCUCCGCAUGCACAAGGUGCUGGGUUCAAUCCCCAGCUCCUCCA
rfam:Camelus ferus isolate Naran unplaced genomic scaffold scaffold24813, whole genome shotgun sequence.